CCUACGGGAGGCAGCAGUGAGGAAUAUUGGUCAAUGGACGAGAGUCUGAACCAGCCAAGUAGCGUGAAGGAUGACUGCCCUAUGGGUUGUAAACUUCUUUUAUAUGGGAAUAAAAUGUUCCCCGUGUGGGAUUUUGUAUGUACCAUAUGAAUAAGGAUCGGCUAACUCCGUGCCAGCAGCCGCGGUAAUACGGAGGAUCCGAGCGUUAUCCGGAUUUAUUGGGUUUAAAGGGAGCGUAGGUGGAUUGUUAAGUCAGUUGUGAAAGUUUGCGGCUCAACCGUAAAAUUGCAGUUGAAACUGGCAGUCUUGAGUACAGUAGAGGUGGGCGGAAUUCGUGGUGUAGCGGUGAAAUGCUUAGAUAUCACGAAGAACUCCGAUUGAGAAGGCAGUUCACUGGACUGCAACUGACACUGAGGCUCGAAAGUGUGGGUAUCAAACAGGAUUAGAUACCCCGGUAGUC
rnacentral:rRNA from 1 species